rnacentral:rRNA from 1 species
UCACCAGUAAUCGCCACAGGAGCAGGCUCCGUCCUUGAAAUGGUGGAAGCGUUUGGCGUCUCGCACCACGAUUUCCCUGUCGGCGAUCUUCGACAUGUACUUGAUGGCGUCAUGGCAGUCGCCGCAGACCCUGAGGUUCUUUAUGACCACGAGCCUCGUCCCUGGGCUCGUGUUCAGCAGCCCAAAGGCGAUGGUGUUAGGCCUCUCGCUGUGGCGGCUGAGAAGCUGCUCCUUGACGCCUUCCUCGAGGUCAUGCGGCGUAAAGAUUUGAGACCAAAGCAAGGACGCCGACAUCCCCAGGUUGCAGUUCAAGGAUCUUCUCUGCUGUGCUCUCCCCAAGUUCCAGCUUCUUGUUAUUCAGACAGCCUGAAAGCAGAGCGACCAAAAUUGAGAUGGUUGGUCUGGUGUGCA